GGGAGGAAAAGAAACUAACAAGGAUUUUCUUAGUAGCGGCGAGCGAAAAGAAAACAGUUCAGCACUAAGUCACUUUGUCUUAAUGGCAAAUGUGAGAUGCAGUGUAUGGAAUGUCAGAUUUCUAGUAUGAGAAAUUAACGAUUUAAGUCCUUCUUAAAUGAGGCCAUUUACCCAAAGAGGGUGCCAGGCCCGUAUAACGUUAAUGAUUACUAGAUGGCAUUUCCAAAGAGUCGUGUUGCUUGAUAGUGCAGCACUAAGUGGGUGGUAAACUCCAUCUAAAACUAAAUAUAACCAUGAGACCGAUAGUAAACAAGUACCGUGAGGGAAAGUUGAAAAGAACUCUGAAUAGAGAGUUAAAUAGUACGUGAAACUGCUUAGAGGUUAAGCCCGAUGAACCUGAAUAUCCGUUAUGGAAAAUUCAUCAUUAUGAUUUUAAUAUUUAUAAUAUUAUAAUAAUGGUGUGCAUUUUUUCUAUAAAGGACAUUGUAAUCUAUUAACAUAAAUAAAUUUAUCAUAAGAUCAAGUAUGCGUAAGUUUAUUCAAAUUAUUUUGCUUGCAAUUUAACAUAGAAUAAAUGCUCUUGAUUUGAUAAAGUGUUGAUAGAUUUAUUAUAUAUAGUGCUUAAAUAUUUAUAUUUUAUAAUAGCAUAUUAAUCAUUGAUUUUUAUGUUUAUUAUAUGCACUUAUAUGAUUAACAAUGCGAAAGAUUCAGGAUACCUUCGGGACCCGUCUUGAAACACGGACCAAGGAGUCUAACAUAUUUGCAAGUUAUUGGGAAUAAAAACCUAAUAGCGAAAUUAACAUAACUUAUUAAUGGGAUUAGUUUUUAGCCUAUUUAUAGUCUAUUAAUUCAAUCCCGGGGCGUUCUAUCAGUUAUGUAUAAUAAUAUUUAUAUUAUUUAUACCUCUAACUAGAGCGUACCUUGAGCAUAUAUGCUGUGACCCGAAAGAUGGUGAACUAUACUUGAUCAGGUUGAAGUCAGGGGAAACCCUGAUGGAAGACCGAAACAG
rnacentral:rRNA from 1 species